AUGGAAGAAGCGUGGCCAGCCCUCGGCCUGGCGGCCGGCGACGCGGCCUUCCCACCCCCGCCCCGGCCCCCGUGGCGUGGGGCGCGGCCGCGACGGCGCGGCGGGAGACGGUGGCCAAGGAAUCGUCCGCGCGCAGGCGGUGAGCCGGAUCGUGUCCAGCCGCGCCAACUCAAGUGGCCUGGCCGUGGACGUCGUCGACGCCAACGCCGUCAUCUCGGGAGGCGCCGCGCUCGCCUCCACCGCGGGCCGGCUGGUCACGGUGCUCGAGGAGGUGUGCGACGCCGCAGCGCGCCGGAGGCUCGCGCUCCUGCCCACCCCCGUCGAGACCACCGAGCCCGCCCCUGA
rnacentral:rRNA from 1 species